GCUGGAGCGUAAUCCCAAGCGCCACACCAUAAUGAUCCCGCCAGCAGUAAGCCCUACGCCACGGUGAGUGGGACACAUGGCGGGCAUUGGUUGACCUAGGGAUAUCCGCCACCAUAACUGCACCAGGCCCCGUCGCUUAUUUAAAUCCUCUCCUUCCCUCCAGGGACUUCAUUUCACCUGAGAGUCCAGACGACGCCUUUCUUUUGUCUGAGAGUUUAGCCACCCAUCGGUGCCCUUUUCGACCCCAAACAUUCUUCGUGCCAAUCUUCGCCAUCUCCGCCGGCUCCCCGCCGCCUUCAGUCUUUCGAUCCCUUUCGAGGAGUCCUCCCGUUGGGGCUUCUGUCCUGGAGGUCAAUCUCGAGAGGAUGCUACGGAUCGAGAGGAGUA
rnacentral:lncRNA from 1 species